rnacentral:lncRNA from 1 species
AUUAUGCCAGGACAUCAAAACAGGCCAUUAGCAAGCAGCUGGGAGAGACCUGAUUGAUGCAUCUACAAGUGGGAGACACAGCAGAGCAGGGCUGGGGCCUCUGGUUGGCAAUAUCCUCUGCUGAAGGGGCUCUAACUUCAGGAAUGCUGCUUUAAAAGCAUUCCAUUGUUUUUCAAUACAACAGAAGCCAUCUGAAUAGAAGAACUUUAGUAUACUGAGACAAGUUUUCUAACAGCCUCCUCUUUGAUUUUGUGAAACUUCUGCAAAAAGAGCUUCAAAAAUAGCUUCUGAAGACCAUCAGGGCCAUGAAACCCACAGGCAAAGGGGUUUCAUUGAAAGGCUGAAGUAGCUAACCAAAUAAACAGGUUGGGUUCCCACAGCAAGGUGUUCCUCCCUCAAAAAGAGCCCGAACCUGGACACGUUUGGCAUUAGAGAUUUCCUUGCAGGGUUUGCUGGCACAGAUUCAGUCCCUGAUCCAGAUCUUGGUGCCCCUCUCUGGUUCCCUCUGUGAGCACAAAGGCAGGGCUCACAGUUCUUAACUGCAACAUCAGUUACAAAAUCAGAGCACUCAGAAGCUGGGAAGAGGUGAGACUGCAUUCACUUUAACUGUUUCCUCAUCAUCAUAAUCACUCACAUAGCUUUUUUCGGACUAUAAAUAAAAGCUUUUUCCAUCUCUGCGGCUUCCUAAUUCUAAUUCAAACAGAUACUGAGUAUUCUUCUCUGUUUUUUAUAAUUGAUUUUUUUUUUUAAAGUUUUGAAGGGUUGUAAUAAUUUUUCUUCUUCUGACACAGAUGAAGACCACGCUUCUGUAAUUUGAAUACAUAGAUCAUAAAGUCACCAGUGGAUUGAGUCAAUGGCAUAAACAUAGUCAGUAUGCUGGUGAUACGUGCAGCUGGACAUCCACCUUCCCAUGCCUUUGAACAGAUGUUAGGAAACAUGAGAGCAGAACGAGUUACCACCUGCCUCUCUCCAGGUCAUGAUGAGUUAACACAAUUGAAAGCAGAACAGUCAAAAGACUUUGAGCACAAGAAGCAUAAAGAGGGUUUCCCGGCUUCGUUGCCUCCAGAAAAGCAAAUUUUGCACACUGUGAGUUGAUAAAUGAAUGCUCAGAGUCUCCAUGCAGUCUGUGCAAUGGAUAGACUGCUCUGCACACCCUCUCCAUGGGCAGUGCUCUUCCCAAGUGCUGGCAACACCAUUAUCGGGAAACAAAUCAGCUCUAUCUGAGAUAAAUUACAUUUCCACCAAUUACAGCUCAAUUGUUGACAGAUGGGAACACAGAAGGGAGAUGCAUUGAAUCAUUAAGAGGACAGGUGUAUAGAAAAGUGCCAGAUUAAUUGUUCCAGCCCAUUAAAUCAUUGACCUUUCUGGCCUACCCUCAGUGCUGAAUUCAGAGCUCUCAGGAUCCUUCCAGCUCACACACGAUGACCACGUUUACAAGAAAAGCACACAGGGGUGCUUUUAAAACACAUACUCCAGGCAUAGACUCAUUAGCAGGUCUUCUUUCUCAUUAAAAGCUGUUUUCUUACUGGAGUUUGUUUUCUUGGCUUUUUCGUGCACUCAC